ensembl:processed_transcript BC037032 cDNA Sequence BC037032
GGACUGAAUCUAAGGCCUCCUGCGUGGGCAUUCCCAAUGAGUAUAUCCCCUGUUCUGUUUUUAAGUUGCCCAGCUGAGCCUUAAAUACACUCUGUAGUCCAGGCUGGACUGGAACUUCUCAUCCUUCUGCCUCAGCCUCCCAAGUAGCUAGGAUUAUAGGCCUGCAAUUGCAGGGCCACUUUCCUCAGUACUCUGAAAAGCAGUUUCUAACCAAUAUUCUACAUUCAUGAGAUUUUCCUUGUAAAACCUUAUACCACUUAACAUUCACACUCUUAAAAAAAAAAAAAACUGGCUAAUGAAAUUCAAAGACUUAAAAAAAUUCCACACAGGUAAUAAGGAAAGGGUUAUGUUCUGAGGUUGUAGGUUGAGGUGUCCUUCACCAGGUAAAUGUGACCUGUUAGAUUGUAGUGGCAAUGUUUCUGCUUGAGAGAUUUCAUUUUCAUUCUCCUGAGAUAUUGUGCCAUAGCUCAUGCCUUUACUGAAGAUAAGACACCCUUUCCUUUUGGUUAGCAGCAUGUUCCUCCAGGAUGAAAAUCCAGGGCAGCUGAAGACUUGUUUUCAAAUGUCGUCUAACCGGCUUAACUAGUGGUAGGAGUUUUAUCUAUGUGGUAUGAGGCAGUUACAAAAAUUCAUAAAUGCCUCAUUCUAUAUAAUGGUCCUUUAAGCAGUGUUUGAGAUCUUUCAAACACUUGUCCUUCAGUAGGAAAACAAAACUUAUCUCAAGGUUCUUAUCAAUUUGUAAAGCUAAAGUAUUUUUUACUAUGUAAAUCAUUGAUUUGCCUAUUUUAUUAACUUAAUAUUUUCAAAUUCCUUUGAAGCAAUGAUGUUUACUCAAUUUUGUUUAAGUAAUACAUUAAAAUGAAUCAGAUUGUUCCUGUUAUAUUUUUUAUAGGAGAAAAUGAAAAUAUAUGAGUUACACAGUCAAAAAAUGAAAAUGAGAGUCAUGUUACGGUGCUAAGAAAACUUCAGGAGAAAAACACAGCCAUCUAAGUGUGCUCAGCUUCAGCAUAGGACACCUGCUUUGGAUUCUCAGCCUCUCCAAUGUCAGGGAGAGACUGCCAUAAUUGACUUUGUUCCCCCUGAAACUGUGAGCCCAAAAAUGAGUCCUUUCUUCUAUAAACUGGUUUUGAUCAUUGUGUUUUAUCACAGCAACCGUUAAAUACAGAAGUUGGUGCUAGAGUGGGCUGAAGCUGUGUAGCACUUGACUGUGUUGCUUUGAAGAGGAAGGUGGAAGACUGUGGAGAUCUGGCCUGGAGCAGCAUCUGGAUACUUUCGGCAGAACUUAAAAGGCAACCCUAAAGGAAGCCUGAAAGAUAACCACACUGAGAGCAAUGAGGACUGUGGAGACCCAGAGCAGAAGGUUUCAGAGAGGAACACUAUCAGCCAUUGGGCUCCAAGCUCUUGUGAUAUUUGGGCAAAGAAUCUAAUGGCCCUGGGCUUUGAUCCUAAGAACUUACCUAAGGGGAAAUUUUUAAAGUAACAGAAUAAUUUCUAUAGUGGAAUAAAAUUUCAAGACCACAUAACAUUGAGUCUGUGGCAUGGUUUUUAUUGAUAAUGCUUCGGAUCUAUGAUGGAAAAGAGACAGAAAUUAAAAAUGGACAUUUUGGUGAGAUAAGGAGCAUUGGGAAUCUUACUGCCCACAUUGAAAUAGAGGCUAUAAUUGCUCAGGAGUCAAGCACCAUUAAGGAGAGACCUGCUCUACACUGGAAUGUGGUUAACACUCCGCCCAGCUAAGCCUCUACAUUCUGAAAGGAAAAAGACUAAGAGGUGACUAGCCAAACUUAGCAGGUAUCUCAAUAUGAUGUUAUCUUGGAUGCAUGAAGGAGACCACACCGGUUCAUAGACUCCUCUUCCUGGAUCUUAGAUGCAUGAAGGAGACCAUGCCGGUUCAUAGACUCCUCUUCCUGGGCCUCAGGGAGCUGCUGGGGCCAAGAAACAUGUGGAAGAGGGGUCACUACAUGAAGGCUUUGAGAAGGCAAGAGGCUCUAAGAAAGCAUUGCAGGAAACUGUGAAAGUAAAGCUCUUGCAGUAAAGAUCCCAAAUUUUUGGUGAUUCAGCAGCCACGGCUUACCUGCUGUGACAAGUUAUGCUUUGAUUACUGUGCCUAGAGAGAUCCAUGAAACAAAAAGAAAUUCUCCCUUCCCUAGGGACAAGAUACUUCAAAAAUGCUGGAGGCUGUUGUUUAAGGAAGAUAACAAGCCACAUGUUUUCGCACUCAUAAACAAGUUUGUUUGCCCCAACUGCAUUGGCUGUCUCUAUCACCAGUAGGCAGAGGUAAGGAAACAGGAAACAUGUCAAGAUAUAUGCUUGUCCUUCAUUGUAUGUUUGUCCUUCAUUGGAUAUUGAUUGGCCUUGUGGGGUUGCCUUUUUAAGCCUCUGCAAGAUGUGAUUCAUCACCAAUUGCUGGGAACCUGGGAAUGAACCGGGUCAGAGUCCAUCCUCCUGGCCAGCAUCUAAUUAACGAUUGCUUCAUAUUUGACUCAAAGAUUGUGGUAGUGGUCUUAUUCCCAACUGGUGAGAUUAACACUGCCAAAGAGAACUGCAAACAGGGGCAGAACCAGCCCAGGAGAGAUAUGUACGUCGCAGGCAGCAAAGGUGGGGGUGUAGAGGUAUCUAAGCCCCUCGACAUCAGAUGUGAAACUACAGAUUUGGUCUUGGCCCUGUUGAGUUCUGAUCUUACUUUGGCAUAGCAUUCCCAUUUAGAAGGUUUGUGGGUAUUAUAUUCUGGGGUAUUACACAUUGAACACAUGUGAAUUGUGUUUUGAUCUUACAGUGGUUACAAUUAAGAGAGUUCCUUGAGCCUCAGAAGAGACUUUGGGCUUUUGAGUUUUACAGAAUAUUGAGGCUGUGAGAAACAAUGAGGAGUUUUGAAAUCAGAUUAAAGAAAUUUUGCAUUAAGAUACAGUUAUGAGCUUAUGGAAGCUGGGGAGUGCAAUGUAGUGUUUUAAAUAAGAAAUGUUUCCAUUAACCUGGGAAUUAGAGCACAUGGGUCCUCAGUAGGUAGCUUUGUUUCGGAGAGGUUUAGAAGGUAUGGUCUUGUUGGAGGACGUGUGUACUGGUAACAAGAGUUGGGAAUAUAUCCUGUCUACUUCCAGUAUGCUGGCUGUCUGCUUUGUGCUUCUGGUUAAGAUAUGAUAACUCAGUUUCCUGUUCCUACUGCCAUCCCUGCUACUGGUCAUGCAUCCCCACUGUGAUGGAAUCUUAUACCUCUGGUACCACAUAAACACUUCCUCCUACAAAUUGCCUUCGUACUCAGCUAUCUAGUGCACUCAACGUCAUCAUAGAACACCUGCUUUGGUGCCCUGUGUGGAGCCCUGGCUGUCCUGGAACAUGCUCUGUAGACCAGACUGGCCUCGAACUCUGCCUUGAGACCCACCUGCUUCUGCAUCCCAAGUUCUGGGAUUACAGGUGUGCACCACCACUGCCUGGUGUGCCUUUGGAAUUUUAUAGGAUGAACUCACAGGGUUUCAGAACCAAGUGUUGGCAGCAAACCAACAAAACCGCAUGUGAGAGCUGUGACUUAUACUUGGUCAUAAAGAUAGAAACUGACAGAACGCCGUUCUGGAUGCUAGAGAGCUAAGUGACAGCUGAUUCUGAGCUUCGCAUUCCCAUGUGGCAAACUGCAGCCUAACUUAAGAAUACAUUCUCAUAACAAAUAGCUGAAUGUCAGCCAGUCUCAGCAGCUGUAGGUCAGCCAAACAUAGGCUCACCAGGCUAUUUCCCUAUGAUGCAAAUAGCUUGUCACACCAUGCUCACAAAAGGCAAAGCUGAGCUGUGAUUAAUCAAGGGACUUAUUUUUUUCCUUUGUCUUUCUACAAUUAAUGUCUGCCUACACUAGGGUGUAGGGCUCUCUGAUCCUCUGAACCACUAGGGACUCACUAAUGAAUCUUGUUCAAAUAAACUUCUGAGUUUAAUUUAAUUUUUUUUCUUAUAACAAGUUUCUUAUAUAGGUUUGUUUAUUCUCUUUAUAUCCUUAUAGCAGAAAGUUAUGUCAUAUCUUUUAUAUGGGCAAUAAUUCCAUUUCAUAGGAACUCCACCCUAAUGUCAUAAUCACUUUCGAAAAGCCCCACACCCACAUAUUAUUACAUUUGUGAUUAAGAUUCAAUUUAUGAGGUGACCAAGGGUAGGGAGUGCAUAUUUAGACCAUGGCUAGUAUUUCAUCUUUGCUCACACACCAGGAAACAUCAGGCAGGAUUUAAACUCUGUACUUUAUAUUCAUCUUUCUUACCCUUAGACCCCUCUUCCUGAGAUAUCUUUGAAUUUCACACUAGUUCUCCAGUUUGACAAAACCUGCAUUAUUUCUGGGUUUCCAUUUCAGUUUUGUUCAUAUAGAUGAUUGUGAAUCCCCCCGCCCCCAAAUAAACACUGCUCCUCUAUUAC